CCUACGGGAGGCAGCAGUGGGGAAUAUUGGGCAAUGGGCGCAAGCCUGACCCAGCAACGCCGCGUGUGGGAAGACGGUCCUCUGGAUUGUAAACCACUGUCCCCAGGGACGAAGAUGACGGUACCUGGGGAGGAAGCUCCGGCUAACUACGUGCCAGCAGCCGCGGUAAUACGUAGGGAGCGAGCGUUGUCCGGAAUUACUGGGUGUAAGGGGAGCGUAGGCGGGGAUGCAAGUUGGGUGUCAAAACUACCGGCUCAACUGGUAGUCGCACUCAAAACUGCAGCUCUUGAGUGAAGUAGAGGCAGGCGGAAUUCCUAGUGUAGCGGUGAAAUGCGUAGAUAUUAGGAGGAACACCAGUGGCGAAGGCGGCCUGCUGGGCUUUUACUGACGCUGAGGCUCGAAAGUGUGGGGAGCAAACAGGAUUAGAUACCCGAGUAGUC
rnacentral:rRNA from 1 species